rnacentral:rRNA from 1 species
CCUACGGGGGGCAGCAGUGGGGAAUAUUGGGCAAUGGGCGCAAGCCUGACCCAGCAACGCCGCGUGAAGGAAGAAGGCUUUCGGGUUGUAAACUUCUUUUCUCAGGGACGAAGCAAGUGACGGUACCUGAGGAAUAAGCCACGGCUAACUAAGUGCCAGCAGCCGCUGUAAUACGUAGGUGGCAAGCGUUAUCCGGAUUUACUGGGUGUAAAGGGCGUGUAGGAGGGGACGCAAGUCAGAUGUGAAAACCACGGGCUCAACCUGUGGCCUGCAUUUGAAACUGUGUUGCGUGAGUACUGAAGAGGCAGACGGAAUUCCUAGUGUAGCGGUGAAAUGCGUAGAUAUUAGGAGGAACACCAGUGGCGAAGGCGGUCUGCUGGACAGCAACGGACGCUGAGGCGCGAAAGCGUGGGGAGCAAACAGGAGUAGAUACCCUUGUAGUC